rnacentral:tRNA from 1 species
GCCGUAGGGGAACCUGCGGCUGGAUCACCUCCUUAAAACCGACGAGUCGCAUCGACGCGUCGGAGCACCCACACAAGUUAUCCAAAUAAGGGGUCUACGGGCCCGCUUAGACGAAUUGGGUCUGUAGCUCAGUUGGUUAGAGCGCACCCCUGAUAAGGGUGAGGUCGCUGGUUCAACUCCAGCCAGACCCACCACUUGAAUUCACGGAGUGAAGACAGGGGGCCAUAGCUCAGCUGGGAGAGCGCCUGCUUUGCACGCAGGAGGUCGGGAGUUCGAUCCUCCCUGGCUCCACCAAUGCUACUAAGUAGAGGACGCAUGAAUCCAAGCGCUCAAGGCGUUGAAAGAGCCUUGAGCGCUUUGUAGUGAAGCUCUUUAACAAUCAGGUUAGAUCGCGGAAGGCACCAAGCCGGACAAGAGUUCGGCUGGAUGCGUUACAAGCGUCAGUGUAUAGCCCCAG